UAUCAAAAUUCAUUUAACAAACUGACAGUGACAUCCUAUCAAUUACUUCCCAAGUCUCCCUCAAAUCAAUUAGCUCUUCUUCAUUCUGUUUUUCUUCCUCCCAGAAUUUCCUUUCUGAAGUACAGUUCUGGUCCUAUUUUUUUUUUUUAUUUUUUAAAUUCACAGGUAUGCUCAUGGCUCACUGUAUCCCCAAAAUCCUGGGCUCAAGCAAUCCUCUCACCUCAGCCUCCCCAGUAUGGAGUGGACCACAGACACAUGCCACUAUUCCCUGCUUGGUCAUGUCAUUUAAAGUGACUCGACAUGGCCCAAAGAAUUCAGAUUUUUCCUUUUGAGAGAAUUACUGCAUAUCAUGAAACCUGCUUCAGGAUGACUGUUCUAUUAAAUGGAGCCCUCCAGACAAGAUCUCAGUAUUACCAGUGUUUGCAAAAUGUGCUGUGCUGAAAAGCUCUUUGUCAAAAUGAAACAGCACUGUGAGCUCCAGCUUUAGCCAGUUCCUCCUUCAACAAAAGAGGAUUGACAAGGCUUGGAUGUGAGGCCCUAGAGGGAUGUGAUUAUCACCUGCUUACUUUCCUGCCUUCCAACACUGUUUUAUUUAUUAACAUUUGGCACAGAGGAACAAACCUUGGUGUUUUGUUUUUCAAGGACCCAUCCUGACUUCACCACCCACAGCCUGUUUGAUUUGGGGAGAGUUCCCUGUUUGUCUGCUACGGAUUAUUUGUUCAUUUGCCUGAGCAGCGCUAUUAUUGCCACGUGCCAGCAGCCUGCUUGCUCCAAGGGUUUUAUCUGCAAGUUUAUGCAUACACUAUUUGCCAACUGUCCACCCUGAGAGUGAUUUCCAGGCUACUGAAGGGGAAAGGGAAGUUUAAGUACCUAUCUGUCAUUUGUUCUCAUGGGAAAAAUGACAAGACAUUUAUUGUCCAGAUAGAUGACCAAAUAAGCACAUCAGCACAAUUCAAUAAAAUAAAUUCCAGCCAGAACUGACUGUAAAUUUAAUAGAUCUUUUCAUACAUGGCAUGCAGAGAAAAAAAAAAUCCCUUCUGGUGCCAUUUAUAUAAUUAUCAGUCAUUGUUUCUCCUUCUACAGUAAUGUAUUUCUCUGUCUACUUUCUUAUAUGCACAAUUCUUAUAUAGUAAACACUCAUGAGAAAUGUGACUUUUUAACCAGGUGGAGACAGCAACAGCAGAGUGGACCUUAUUGUGUAUGCGCCAGCCAUUAAAUAGGGUUUUGAGCCACAUUUUUGUAAAACAUCCAGAGCAAAGAUCAUAUUGCAAGAUGUUUUUCAGAUAUUAUGAAAUUUAAUACAGAGUUGGCCUGAGUUGUUAUUUUUUUUUUUUUAGAUGGACUCUUGCUCUGUCGCCAGGCUGGAGUGUAGUGGCACAAUCUUGGCUCACUGCAACCUCCACUUCCCAGGUUCAAGCAAUUCUC